UCUGAGGAUGCGGGAAGCGUUGCUUACCUUAGGUAUGGCUCUGGACAGUAUGGUGAACUGAGCAAGUGUUUUGCACCUUUUCACUUCUGCGAGCCUCUUCCCGGUCUUCAGGAGCAUCUAUCUGGCUCCCAUCACUCUCCUGCUACCUGCACUCAACUUGUAUCUGUGAUUAACCCCUGCUGUUACCAAUAAUGGCUUAAUGGUUCGUAUCUGCCAAGGAGAAUUGUAUUUCAACAGUUUCAGAAUAUAUAGCCUUCUAGAGCCUAAGGAAUUGAUUGCUUACCUUGCUCUCUACCCUUGGGAGACAGAUCUCUUUCCUUAAACUUGUACAUAUCUGAGCAGAAAAGAAGCCUGUCUCUUAAAAGGAUUGGACAGAAACAUUUUCGCUAGAGUCUCGUUCUUUGGACGUGAUCCAAUCACUACUUCUCUACCUAUGAGACUGUUGAUCAUCUCUUUCUCAGAUGAGUUCUGCCAUUAAACUGAAUAUCCAAAUGUGCAUAAAUCCUGAAUCCUAGGCUAUUCUGGCCAAUCAGCAAGAGAAAGAUUUGAGAUUUAAGAAAUUUGCAGCAACAAGAAUUGACUGAUGGCAACUACUAUUUCUUAAUAAGAGUAUUUUACUUAUGUUCUCUGGUUCUUGAGAUUCAAAAUGUAUUUUGAGAAGCAGCAACAGGAGAACAUCUGGAGAGAGAAGGAGAUUCUCUCUUAGAAGGGAAAUCAAAGAGGAAACAAACAAAUGGAAGAACAUUCCAUGCUCAUGGAUAGGAAGAAUCAAUAUUGUGAAAAUG
rnacentral:lncRNA from 1 species